GCAGUGGUGGCAGUGACAGCAGUGACAGCAGUGGUGGCAGUGGAGCUGCAGCUCUGCUCCCAUCUCCUCUCCCAGCAUCUCCUCCACCUUGGUGUGCACAGCCAGUGUUUCAGUUCAGAAGUUCCCCAGCAUCAAGGAUGAAAGAAAUACAGCAAUCUGUCCUGGUGGCUUCAGCAGAAGGGAGCUCUAAAUAGAAAAAUAAUCUGACCCACGGUGUUUGCUAUUGAAUGAGAAAUCCCAUAAUAUCAGAAAUCUGCAGCAAUUUGACAACAAGUCAAAAUAUUUCCCUUUUUAGUACUGUGGCAAGUCCUGAUGAGAGUUCUGUUUAUUCCACGAAGACAAUGAGCAGGGAACAGUGUGAGGAAGUCUGGCUGCUGCUGUGAUAACUCCUUCCCAGAUGAAGCCUCUCUUCUAUCUUGCUUUGGCACUGAAAUGCUGACUUCAAGGCCUGGUGGUAUCUCUUGCCUUUGGUGUACAAACUCCUUAAUGUGCAAGAAAUUGUACAUAUGCAAAUGGGGGGGUGAUAAGCAGCUGGCUGGUCCCACACUGAUCCCCUGGCAUUUUGGCUUCUUCCCACUUCCACCAGCUCUGCCCGUGCCACUCUUCUGGAAUCCGCUCGAUCGCAGCAUCUUACAAAGCCUUAAAUGGGAGAUAGCAGCAUUUCUGAUCUCAUUUUCCAGUAUUUCAGCUGUGCCAUAAUCUAUUUACCACACAAUUUGUGUCACUUUGAUAAGCGGCUGCUUCAAGACUGCAUUUAUUAAAAUCAAGAGCUGGGAGAGCUUUCAAGUCUCUCAAGUGUUGUAAUAAAUGUUUGAAAUUAGUCAUUACAGUGUUUGCCAUGGUUCAUAUCAUAGACUCUAUCUAAAUGACAAAUGAUCACAGCCUGGACAUGCACCUUUUUUUUUUUUUUUUGGUGUUGGUGGUGCAUUUGCAGUGGGAUGGGAUAAGGUUGGGAUAACCCAACCCAAAACUUCCCAAGUUGGAGCAGGAAGGAAGGGAGGAGUGGAGAAGAGCGAAAGUUUCACUGAGAAACAUUAUCAGAGGCUCAGGGCAAUGGCCUUUAGCAGAGAAGUGCUGGCUCAGCUCUGACUUUGCUGGCUAAAAAUGAAAUUAAUCUGAAAACCAGCCAAAAGCCCCAAGAAGAGGCUGUGUAGGUUUUGCAGUGCAGAGCAAUUGGCACUGUGGUGUCUGGAUUAUGAAAAGUUCAGCUCCUCACCCACCAAACAGCUCCAGGAUGGAAAUUCACCCUGUUGCUCUGUUACAGACAGCUUCUGAAUGUGCUUGCCUGGCCACAGGAUGUGCUGAUGUGGUCAUUUAAUAAUUAAAAAAACCUAAAAACCCCUCAAAAAUCAAAUUAAAAACCUCUUUUCUAAGUAGAGUUCUGUGUGUGUGCAUGUAUAUAUUCACACAUAUAUAGGCACAGACGUAUUAAACACAUACGGCACAGAAAAGAGACAAUUAUUAAGACAAAUAUUCUGUCUCAAUUCAUUUUGUUCUUCAUUUUCCCAUCAGGAAUGUAAUAGCUGAAUUUAUAGUGUUGAGCCUGGGCUAUAAAUUCCAUUAUUUUCAGUGACUAUAUCAAUUACAUCCCUUGAAAGGGACCCCAAGGCAAGGGGAGAAAAUUGGAGACAAAAAUCUUCAGAAGGGAGGAUGCAGGAGGAAGAGGGGAGAAUCAUCCCCUCCCCUGUUUUAUCCUUACUCAUAACCCAUAACCAGCACCUUGUCCCUGCAUAAAACCUUGCUGAGCUCCCAAGCUGGCACCCAAGACAGAGAGACUCUAGUGACAAGUGUGUCACUGAGGAAAUAAUUGCAGGGCCACACACACAGGUGCUGACUCAA